rnacentral:rRNA from 1 species
AUGACUUUGCUGUUGGGGUCUCCUGGGUCCGGGAAGACCACGUUGCUCGAGGCUUUGGCCGGACGGUUAAAUAAAGCGAUGCAGGUGUCAGGGAGGGUGACCUACAACGGACACGGCAUGGAGGAAUUUGUCGCCGAGAAGGCAGCAGCAUACGUUAGCCAGGAGGAUCUCCACACCGGGGAGAUGACCGUUAGGGAGACGCUCGCCUUCUCCGCCGAGUGUCAAGGCACCGGUGACCGUCAGGAUUUGUUAGCCGAGCUGGCGAGAAGGGAGGGGGAAGCGGGCCUGACACCGGAGCAUGACAUCGACGUGUUCAUGAAGGAAUCUGCAAUCGGAGGCAAGAGCAACAUAGUUACAAACUAUAUAAUGCAGAUCUUAGGACUUCAUACCUGUUCGGAUACAUUGGUUGGAAAUGACAUGGCAAGAGGUAUAUCCGGCGGACAAAGGAAACGUGUCACGAUAGGAGAAAUGCUCAUUGGUCCGGCAAGAUCCCUAUUCAUGGAUGAGAUCUCGAAUGGGCUUGAUAGCUCAACUGCAUUUCAAAUAGUGAAUUUCCUAGGGCAAUUGGUCCACAUACUUGGGGGAACGGCUGUCAUCUCUUUACUUCAACCAUCACCUGAAACAUAUGAUCUUUUUGAUGAUGUCAUGCUCCUAUCAAAGGGGCAUGUUGUCUAUCAAGGGCCCAAAGAGAACGUGAUUGAGUUUUUUGAGUCCCUAGGCUUCAGAUGUCCCCAGAGAAAAGCUAUUGCCGACUUCUUGUUAGAAGUGACUUCAAUUAAAGAUCAAAAGCAUUACUGGACAAGGGAUGGUGAAACUUAUCAGUACAUCACUGUGGAGAAAUUUGCAGAAGCUUUUCAUGCAUUUCAUGUUGGUCAGAUAAUUCUAAAGGCCCUUGAGAUCCCAUUUGAGAAGAACCAGAGUCUAUCGCCAUCUCUAACCAAUUCAAAAUAUGGUGUGAGCAAACGACAGUUGGUCAAUGCCAUAUCUGCUAGAGAAAUCCUACUUAUGAGAAGGAACUCGUCCCUAUACAUGGUUAAUUUUGCACAUAUGGCUAUGAUAGCAUUCAUCGCGUUAACAAUCUUCUGGAAAAGCAACAUGCAUCGUGAUUCAUUGACUGAUGGAGGGUUAUAUCUUGGGGUGUUGUUUUUCUUUGUGGAAACCAUGUUCAGCAAUUUAGGUGACCUUGGCGGAACUAUCAUGAAACUGCCACUUUUCUUUAAGGAAAGGGAUGUUUUCUAUCCGGCAUGGGCGUACACUUUGCCUCAAUGGAUUCUUAAGAUUCCCAUCACCCUUGUUGAAAUCACAAUAUUGGUUUCCAUGACAUAUUAUGCAGUUGGGUUUGACCCAAAUAUUGGGAGGUUCUUCAAGCAAUAUUUUUUGCUUCUAGCACUAAGUCAGAUGUCAUCUUCCUUGUUCCGGUUGAUUGCUGGAGUAACGAGAAACAUGUUUGCAGCAAACAUCUUUGGAACAUUUACAAUGCUUUUGCUUUUGCUCUUAGGUGGAUUUUUACUUUCUAGCGAAAACUUCAACAAGUUUUGGAUGCUUGGCUACUGGAUCUCACCAUUGAUGUAUGCACAAACUACAAUUUCGACAAAUGAAUUUACAUCUCACCGCUGGAGUAAAGCACUUCCUGGGUCAACAGAUCCAUUAGGGACAAGUGUCUUGAAAUCUCGAGGGAUAUUUGUGGAGGCAAAAUGGUACUGGAUUGGCUUAGGUGUACUGAUUGGAUACACACUUAUAUUUAAUGGCCUCUACACCGCAGCUUUUACAUACUUCAAAAAAAUUCUAAAGGAAGAUGGUUUGUUCUUGUUUGUAGCACAUGGUAGAGGCUUUUCAUCAUUGACAAACAAGGCACUAGAGAAAAAAUUUGCAAAACUGAGUAGGGAUGCUCCCUCAAAAAGAUCUCACCAGAAAAGAGUAAUGAAUGAAUUGGAGAGUCCUAGAAACAACGGAAGGGUAUCGCUUCCAUUUGUGCCACUUUCACUUACCUUUGACAACAUAAGGUAUUCAGUAGACAUACCAAAGGAAAAUAAAGCACGGGGUGAGACAAAAGAUCGUUUGGAAAUACUAAAGGGUGUGAGUGGUUGCUUUAGACCAGGUGUGCUGACUGCAUUAAUGGGCACUAGUGGUGCCGGAAAAACAACGUUGAUGGAUGUGUUAGCAGGAAGGAUAACCGGAGGCUACAGAGAGGGGACUAUAACUAUCUCGGGCUACCAAAAGAAGCAAGAAACCUUUUGUCGUAUAUUUGGAUACUGUGAGCAGUCAGAUAUCCAGUCUCCACACUUGACUGUUCUUGAGUCACUUCUAUUUUCCGCGUGGCUUCGAUUACCAUCAGAAAUUGACUCAUUAACAAGAAGGAUAUUUGUUGAGGACAUGCUGGAGCUCUUGGAUCUCACAUCAUUGGGAGGUGCACAAGUUGGACAUCCUGGAGGAUAUGGUCUCUCAUGUGAGCAACGGAAGAGGCUGACCAUUGCAGUAGAGCUUGUAGCUAAUCCUUCUAUUAUUUUCAUGGAUGAGCCAACAUCAGGGCUUGAUGCUAGGGCUGCAGCAAUUGUAAUGAGGACUGUCAGGAACCUAAUGGACACUGGUAAAACUGUUGCCUGCACCAUUCACCAGCCAAGCAUAGACAUAUUUGAAACUUUCGACGAGCUUUUUCUACUGAACCAAGGAGGGGAGGAGAUCUAUGUUGGUCCACUAGGCGAGAAAUCUUUGAAUAUGAUCACAUACUUUGAGGGAAUAGGCGUCAAUAGGAUACAAGAGGGGUAUAACCCCACAACUUGGAUGUUGGAGGUGACCUCAACAGUACAAGAGCAAAUGUUGGGGAUUAAUCUUUCUGUAAUAUUCAAACAAUCAGAGCUAUAUCAGAAGAACAAGGCCUUGAUAAAGGAACUAAGUAUGCCUCCUCCUAGCUCAACCGAUCUCCAUUUUUCUAAUAAGUAUUCACAAUCUUUAGUGAAGCAAUGCUUAAUAUGCUUAUGGAAGCAAAACUUAUCAUAUUGGAGGAAUAUUCAUUACACCGGGAGUAGAUAUUGUAUCACCAUAAUCAUAGCAUUGCUUUUUGGCACGGUAUUCUGGGACCUUGGAAUGAACAGAGCGAGACGACAAGAUUUGUUCAAUUCCAUGGGGUCCAUGUACGCUGCCAUUCUAAUGAUCGGUAUUUCGAAUGCAUCGGGUGUCCAACCGGUGAUUGCAAUGGAAAGAAUAGUGUUCUACAAGGAAAGAGCAUCUCGAAUGUACUCAUCCCUACCGUAUACAUUUGCACAGGUUGUAAUUGAGCUCCCAUACAUAUUCAUUCAAACUCUUAUUUAUGGAGUUUUGGUAUAUGCAAUGAUAGGAUUUGAGUGGACUGCAACCAAAUUCUUUUGGUACUUGUUCUUCAUGUACUUCACAUUCUUGUACUUCACAUUCAUUGGGAUGAUGGCUGCGGGACUUUCACCCAGUGGUGGUAUUGCAGCAAUUAUAUCAUCUGCAUCCUAUGGCCUAUGGAACUUGUUCUCUGGGUUUCUCAUCCCAGUUUAUAGAAUUCCUAUCUGGUGGAGUUGGUAUUACUGGAUAUGCCCGGUUGCAUGGACAGUGUAUGGUCUAGUCGCUUCACAAUUUGGGGAUGUCGAGGAGAAACUUGAGACUGGUGAGACUGUAGUAGAGUUCCUGAGGAGCUACUAUGGUUUCAGGCAUGAAUUCUUGGGAGUGAUUGCCGCAGUGACUAUGGGAUGCACUGUGGCUUUCGCCCUCUUGUUUGGCUUUUCUAUCAAGUAUAUCAACUUCCAAAGGAGAUGA